CUGUCAUAAUCAGUGCUGCUCUAUUAUUCUUUCCUAUUAACAGAGAAAACUUAUCUGUCCUCUGGAUAGGAAGAGAGAAGAUGGAGGUUUGCACUCAGCUGAUCAAGUGCUUUGACCAACACAUGAAAGCUGAGGAAGAGAUCAUCUGCAAUCAAUGCUAACAUUUUCAAAAUUAACAGGCACAAGUGGGUUUUCUCCUUGUUUUAAAGCACUACAAAUUCAAUUAAAAUUGCUACUAGAACACACACACAAGUGAAUUAGGAGAAAUCAUUUCCUUCCCCCACCCAUCCAAAAAAGAGCAUGAACAGCCAAUGGCAUUUAGGAAUUUAUUUUCAUAAUUAGCUUAUCUGUCUGAUGAAACAGUCUGCUCUAUAGAUGUUAUUUUAUUUGACUAAAACGUGACCGUCAGUAACCAGUCUUA